rnacentral:rRNA from 1 species
UGGGGUAAAAGCCUACCAAGGCCACGAUCAGUAGCCGACCUGAGAGGGUGAUCGGCCACAUUGGAACUGAGACACGGUCCAAACUCCUACGGGAGGCAGCAGUGGGGAAUAUUGCGCAAUGGGGGAAACCCUGACGCAGCAACGCCGCGUGAGUGAUGAAGGUCUUCGGAUCGUAAAGUUCUGUCGCAGGGGAAGAUAAUGACGGUACCCUGUGAGGAAGCACCGGCUAACUAC